rnacentral:rRNA from 1 species
UACGUAGGGUCCGAGCGUUGUCCGGAAUUACUGGGCGUAAAGAGCUCGUAGGUGGUUUGUCGCGUUGUUCGUGAAAACUCACAGCUCAACUGUGGGCGUGCGGGCGAUACGGGCAGACUAGAGUACUGCAGGGGAGACUGGAAUUCCUGGUGUAGCGGUGGAAUGCGCAGAUAUCAGGAGGAACACCGGUGGCGAAGGCGGGUCUCUGAGCAACAACUGACGCUGGAGGAGCGAAAGCGUGGGGAGCGAACAGG